GUGAAUCAUCAAAUUUUUGAACGCGAAUUGCACUCUCUUCGGAGAGUAUGCCUGUUUGAGGGUCAGCAUAAAAAAAAUUGACAUAGUUGAUGUUUCGUGGUGACAUUAGUCGGAAUUUGGGUCAUCUUAAACCUUUGGGUUUUAAGUGGCUUAAAAUUUUCUUUACGAUUCAAAGAACGUUUCUAAGAUUUUACUUCUUACAAGUUUAAGGUAUCGAUCUUUAUUAGUCGUGGUCGUUGUUUCGGAUUACGUUAAUAUAUAU
rnacentral:misc_RNA from 1 species